UACGUAGGGGGCAAGCGUUGUCCGGAAUUAUUGGGCGUAAAGAGCUCGUAGGCGGCUUAGUAAGUCGGCGGUGAAAUACCGAGGCUCAACCUCGGCACUGCCGUCGAUACUGCUAUGGCUAGAGUUUGGUAGAGGAGAACGGAAUUCCUGGUGUAGCGGUGAAAUGCGCAGAUAUCAGGAGGAACACCGGUGGCGAAGGCGGCUUGCUGGGCCUUACCUGACGCUGAGGAGCGAAAGCGUGGGGAGCGAACAGG
rnacentral:rRNA from 1 species